rnacentral:lncRNA from 1 species
CUUCUCUCCUGCCCUCGUGGCCUGGCCGAAGCAGAGGGCCAGCCUGAGCCUGCGGGAAGCCUCAGCACGCAGGGGCCGAGUGCUUGUCCAGGCACCAUGACCCGCAACCUGUUGUCACCUUUCAGGAAGGGCUUCUGCCUCUUUUGGCCAAAUUAAAGGGUGGUCCCAAAGUGUCAGGAACCACUGACACUUCCUGCAGGGCACAGUGGCAGCUGCAGCCUCAGAAACCUUCUGGCUCACCUCCACAGAAGAGCAAAGAGAGCCCCCUGAAAUCAGGGAGAUUCAGAAGAGUGAAAGUGCAUUUAGACAAGGGCCAAACCCACUCCACAGCUGAGCUGGGUCAGGAAGAUGCCAGCAGAGCCGCUGGCUCCCAGAGGAAGCCGGACAACACUGCUGACGGCCUCUUUAAAGCUGUCUUUGAGCAGCUGACCACAGCAGAAGCCCAGAAGCUCCAAGAGCUGGUUGAGACCAUUGUGUACAAAGUGUUUGCAAGGCUGAAGGUUCCUUGGGACCAGCAUGGCAAUUUUUUAAGGAACACUGCUCAGAGGAUCAGAGGAAGUGUUUUUGGCAGCUCCGUGAGAACAGAGCCUGCAGAGACACCACUAGACCGCCAACAGGAAAUAGAACUGGUGGCCAAGGAGCUUCUAGCGAUGGUGUUGGAGAUCUUGGGGGACCGUCUGGAGUCCAAAGCUUCUGAGUCAGGGAGGGCAGCCAGGCAGAAGGAGCAGCUUGUUGAUGGGGGAGCCUCCCAAGCAGACACAUCCAAGGAAGCUGAAACAGACAGAACACGUUUAAAUGCUUGCCUUGACUAUCUCACCAUCCAAGUUGUUAAGAAUAUUUGCUGCCUCUUGAAAUCCAUGGUAGUUUCUCAGUUUGGAGGAGACUCCAGCCAUGAGUACACCGAAAUCCUGAAGCUUGCCAAGGGUAAGGUCACCAACAGACAGAUGCAGCCAGGAUUCCCUGGAGCAUCCGAAGAACAGAGCCAGGAAGAAAGCGCAGGAGUAAAGCUGCCUGUCUUAGGACCACGGCUCCAUGCAAAAGGGACUGGCUAUGCCAAAACCGUGGAGCCUGAGUA